CCCAUGCCCCCGUCUGCCCCUCGAGGAGCCUCAGGCCGGGCGGAGGGGGCACCAGGACGGCUCACCCCCCGGCCUGGACUUCCCUUCACACUUCCGGGUCUCCCGUCCACCGUCCCUCUGCCGGAGCCGACGGUGCCCACGGUUGCCCCUGCUGCCCCCCUCUCCCUCCAGCCUGCCCGGGAAAGGCCUGGGAACGAGAAGAUGCCGGCACUCGCCUCUCGGGGCCUUUGCGAUGGCACCCACGCGUCCUCAGAGGACACCGAGGUCCCCCAGAGUCAGCGUGCCCGUCAGCCCACCCCCUGCCCACCCAGCCGUGCAGGCCCAGGUCCUGCCCCAGCCCAGCUCCUGCCCGGAGCCACGCCCUCUCUAUGCUCUGGGGUUGCUCCCCCAGGAGGGCAUCUAACACCCCCACCCACCACAGCCCCAGGAGUGCCACCCCGCACCCCGGCAGGGCCCGCCCAGCGUCCCUGGGGGCGAACACCGGUGUCUUUUUCUGCUUAUUCCCCUUUGCCACGCUUUUAGCUUUCUCUUUAAGACGAUAUAUCAAUAAAAUCCUCCAUAAACA